rnacentral:rRNA from 1 species
UAAUACUGGAUAGGCAAUUAUUCCUGUAAUGGUUUUUUGUUUAAAUGUUUUUUCGCCUAAGGAUGGGUCUGCGGCCGAUUAGGUAGUUGGUUAGGUAAUGGCUUACCAAGCCUUUGAUCGGUACGGGUUGUGAGAGCAAGAGCCCGGAGAUGGAACCUGAGACAAGGUUCCAGGCCCUACGGGGUGCAGCAGGCGCGAAACCUCCGCAAUGUGAGAAGUCGCGACGGGGGGAUCCCAAGUGCCAUUCUUAACGGGAUGGCUUUUCUUUAGUGUAAAAAGCUUUUGGAAUAAGAGCUGGGCAAGACCGGUGCCAGCCGCCGCGGUAACACCGGCAGCUCUAGUGGUAGCAAUUUUUAUUGGGCCUAAAGCGUCCGUAGCCGGUUUAAUAAGUCUCCGGUGAAAUCCUGUAGCUUAACUGUGGGAAUUGCUGGAGAUACUAUUAGACUUGAGACCGGGAGAGGUUAGAGGUACUCCCAGGGUAGAGGUGAAAUUCUGUAAUCCUGGGAGGACCGCCUGUUGCGAAGGCGUCUAACUGGAACGGUUCUGACGGUGAGGGACGAAAGCCAGGGGCGCGAACCGGAUUAGAUACCCGGGUAGUCCUGGUCGUAAACGAUGUGGACUUGGUGU